UACAGAGGGUGCAAGCGUUGUUCGGAAUUAUUGGGCGUAAAGCGCGUGUAGGCGGCUUAGCAAGUCGGGCGUGAAAGCCCUCGGCUCAACCGAGGAAGUGCACCCGAAACUGCUGAGCUUGAGUGCCGGAGAGGAUGGCGGAAUUCCCCAAGUAGAGGUGAAAUUCGUAGAUAUGGGGAGGAACACCGGUGGCGAAGGCGGCCAUCUGGACGGAUACUGACGCUGAGACGCGAAAGCGUGGGUAGCAAACAGG
rnacentral:rRNA from 1 species